rnacentral:lncRNA from 1 species
GUGAGGACACAGCAAAAGGUGCUGCCUAUAAAUCAGAAAGCAGAGCCCUCACAAGUAACCAAAUUUGCCGGCGUCUUGAUCUUGGACUUGCCAGCCUCCAGGACUGUACUUUGGAGGGGAAAAUGUACAAGAUACGCAAGGUCCCUGACCUCAUUAUGGAGAUUCCACAACACUGAAGAGGAAAAGGAGAAUGGAUGUAUUGGGACAAUCCAUUGCCAACAAUCAUUUUGUGUUUCAUUUAUGGGAUCCAUUUCUGGAGCAAUGCAUGCUUCUCAUGCCUCAUCACUGUGUUGUUAGAAGCUCUGGACCACUUUAUUACUCUGAGCAUCUUCCUUUUGGAUGUAGCUCACUCCUGGCUUCAGCAGCAGACAUGAUAUUAAAACCUUGGGACUGGAGCAUUUAAAAACAAGGUACCCUCAAGGAAAUAGAAAUUAAACCAUAUUCAAUGUGUAUCCACCAGAAUGGCUAAAAUGAAAACGACAGAAAAUGCCAAAUAUUGGCGAGAAGCUAGAGCAUCUGGAACUCUCAUACAUUGCUGGUGUGAGUAUAAAUGUAUACAACCACUCCAGAAACUGGCUUAUCUACUAAAUCUGAACAUACGCACACUGCGUGACCACGAAGUUCCACUCCUAGCUCCACAGCCAACAGGAAGGUGUCUGUGUGUGUGUAUAUUCUGUCAUCAAAAGAGAUGCACUAGAAUGUUCAUAACAGAGCAUUCAGGAUAGCUGCCCACCUCCACAAAAGGAAACCAUUCAAUUGCCCAUCAACAGCAGAAUAAAUAGAUUGGGUUGUAUUCAUCAAUGGAACACCACACAGCAGCAAGAAUGAGC